ACUUUUAAAGGAUAAAAGCCAUCCGUUGGUUUUAGGGGCCAUUGACUCUUGGUGCAACUCCAAGUAGAAGUA
rnacentral:tRNA from 1 species